rnacentral:snoRNA from 1 species
UCAUCUGUAGGUAAAUUCUUACCUGAAAGAUUUGCCAAAGAGCAAAUCUUCAAGUAAAAAUGAUGCAAAAAGGGUUAUUAUAUGAGUUUUUCAUUGAUUAAAAUAACUCGUAUAUUAGAGGCCGCAACCCUCUUUUAUACAUAGCUGAU